GCAGAAACCCCAAGACUCUUUGGUGUCUCGCUCCAGCGGAAAUGAACUGUACGGCAGAGGGGGCACAAGUCUCCUAGGAAGCCUCAUUCCAGGAGCUGUGCAGGCACAAUCGGUGCAGCCGCUUUUGUUUCCGAUGACUAACAAGGCUGGGCCAUCUUGUCUCCUUUUGUGCCAGAAUCCGAGGUGCCUGAUUGAAAUGAAUGCCAUUCAGAGACUUUCUGCUUCCUACCUAAGCAAAGCCAAGUUGCGGCAGAGAUUUCUAAGCAAUAGCCGACCUGUUGUUCCCCUUGGGUCCCGGAUUCUAACGGAUCCAACUAAAGUUUUUGAACAUAACAUGUGGGACCACGUGCAGUGGUCUCAAGAAGAAGAAGCAGCGGCCAGAGAAAGAGCAACUGAAAACUCAGCUGUGAGAAUUCAGUGGGAAGAUCAAGUCAAAUAUGAGAAUGAAGCCAGUAAAUAUUGGAAUGAGUUUUACAAGACUCAUAAAAAUAAGUUUUUCAAGGAUCGUAAUUGGCUAGUUCGGGAGUUUCCGGAAAUUAUUCCAACUGAGCACCAAAUUGAAAAGAAGGAGGAAGAAAUUCCUUGGGAUCAUAUAAAAAACAAUGGUGCAGACUAUUUCUUGAAAGUGCCGUCCCCAGCUAUACCUAUAGAAGAGAGAAAUUCUUGCAAGAUUGUGUCUGGUGAUGGUGUUGUUCACAGCCGUAGCAAAGCGGGAUCUGUUGGUGCCUUCCAGAAUGCUGAAGAGAAUAGAAAAGAGAAUGUGAAGACUGGGUUAUUCCCUGGUAGCAGUGCCACUUUCAGAAUAUUGGAGGUGGGCUGUGGGGCUGGAAAUAGUGUUUUUCCAAUUCUCAAUAUUCUAAACAAAACCCCAGGGACCUUUCUUUACUGUUGUGACUUUGCUUCUGGAGCAGUGGAGCUGAUAAAGUCACACUCGUCCUACAGUCCAGCCCAGUGUUCUGCCUUUGUUCACGAUGUAUGUGAUGAUGGUUUACCCUAUCCUUUUCCAGAUGGGAUCCUGGAUGUCAUUCUCCUAGUCUUUGUGCUCUCUUCUAUUCAUCCUGACAGGGUGCUGUUUGUCUGAAAACUUUUAUGUGCGAGGGAAUGGUACCAGAGCAUAUUUCUUUUCGAAAGGGGAAGUCCAUAGUAUGUUCUCGCUGGCUGGGUUAGACGAAGUACAAAAUCUAGUUGAUCGACGUUUGCAAGUCAACAGGAAACGACAAGUGAAAAUGCAUCGUGUUUGGGUACAAAGCAAGUUCCAGAAACCAUUGCAGUUGUUUCCAGACAGGCCCGAGAAUGCCAUUCCUGAACUUUCUGCUGCCUGAAUUAUGUACUGUGUCUCCAAACAAAGCAAGUUCAAUUCUGUACACCUUAAUAAUGUAUACAUUAAAAACUAGGACUCUUCCACUCAUUAAUGUUCUGUAGGCACUUUCCAAACCUGCCACAGGGCUGCUCAGACUUAGGACGGUGUGAAUGUUUGCUUAUGGAGGAGGUAGAGGAAGAUUAGAAGGAGAGGGAGAAGCCAUCUGCUCUUUGUCACCCAGGACUUUGGCAUUGGUUUUCAUCUUCUCUAGGUAAGGACCCAAAACACGGCACAGUGGUCUCCGGACAGCCGUUGUUAGUAACUUCAAGGACCGUGUGAGCGAGCCCCAGAGAGCAGCCAGCCCAGAAUCGUGGGGAGGCGGGUCUGGUGCUAUAGGAAACACAAAAGAGGAAGGGGUAGGAUCACCUGGAAGUUUUAUAGCCCAAAAGUUUUCCAGAGACAGUGCUGAAAGAUGUGAAAUUACUUUCUGUCAGGAACC